AGUUUACAAUCCUCCCAACAUCCAUUCUUGCCAUGGACACCGAAUGUUGUGACGUCAAUUUGGGAGCCACGGGAUGGAUCCCUUUCAGAGUGAUCUAGACGCCCUCGAUGCCUCGACAAUUUCACGGGCGUCUAAAGUGUGAACUGAGGUCAUACUUAUAACUGGUCAGUUUAGUGACAAACCCUACAUUUUAGUUUUUUGUUAUGUGUCCUAUAUGCACUUUUAGUUUUUUAUAGGUGUGGAUAACUUCUUGAAAGCUAAAUCUUCCCAUACUGUAUGUGCUUUUCCGCGAGGUAGACUAAAUUGGCAUCUUGAGGAUUCAUGCUUCAUGUAUCAUACAAGUGAUCCUUUCAUAGCUUCAUCUGUUGCGCUCUUACAUAUCGUAUUCUGCUAUAGAGUAUAAAUAGUACUCUUCCUUGGAGUUGAAUCCAUGUAUCAUGAUUUUUGGUCGAUACAGUCCUAUAGUUCCCCACAAAAAAAGGACUUUGGUUGUGGCUAACUGGGUUCUCUCUGCCUCUCACAAGUUUUGUUUAUUACUAUACUACUAUUAUUUAGUUAGAUAACUUGGACUGUCUGAUAGGAGUUCUUACUGCUAGAGAUGCUAACUGAGUCUCUUUGGCUCUCACAAGUUUGUCCUUGUGUUAUCUCUUAUUCAGGGUAAAAAUAAUGCCCAGAACAAAGAAAUUAUGUAUUAUACUGUACUCAUUAUUGUAGUUAAAGAUUAUCUUCAAAAUUGAUCAUCACUUGGGAUGCUACCAACUUGCAGGGUUCAUGAGACAUUAAAUUUCCAUAUUUCAUUUCCCUCUUCUUCACUUGUUACAAAUAUAUCUUUAACAUUAGAGUUUAAUAUUUGUGUUUUCACAGGUAGGAAUAGACAGGUAAGAUCAGUCACCAGUGAUGGAGUCAUGAGGUUGUUGACGUCAUGCUAAAUGUUGGUGUAGGGCCAAAGGAGAAGAUAUGGUGCAAAAUUCUUGAGCUUGACAUUAUGGUACAAUAUAAAUUUGAGUAUUCUUGCCUAUCAUAGCAGUCUAUAUCCUAUAUCACAUUGCAAAAUUCCAUGAACAAUUGGUCCACAUUAUUUAUCUGUUAUAUUGUUCAUGCCCAAGCAUGGAUGCAGGUGGAUGUGGGCGCCAGGGCCACCAAGGAUGUAGGGGUCGCGCCACAAUGGCCGAGGAUGCGUUAGGCACGCCGAAACUGACGAGGACACGUGAGUCGCACUGCAGCCUUAGUGUUUUUCCUAAUUUCUUUAGGUACCCAAGGUUGAUUUAAUAUUCACAUGUAUGCUGAAAUUUUGACACCAAAGAACCAGCAGUGGAGUUAUACGAAAUUUCUCCCGAGAGUUGUACUACCAUUCUUUUUAGUAUUGAUUGACUAAUUCCCAUGAGAUGCCCCAAAAUUGUAAAUAUGAAUAUGGAUGAUUAAUUAUGAUGCUAAUGAGGUCAUUGGUUCUCAUUAAAAUAGCAGCAUGAAAUAACCCCGCAUAUAUUUGUUGGAUUUUAAAUUGACCCUUUCAACUCAACUAAUAUUUUUAUUUCUACAGUAUUUACUGACUUUUACAUCAUGUUUUGCACGCUAUGGGGAAUGAUUGUAGGUAUUUAUGAAGUAGUCCCCAU
rnacentral:lncRNA from 1 species